rnacentral:rRNA from 1 species
AUUGAACGCUGGCGGCAUGCCUUACACAUGCAAGUCGAACGGUAACGCGGGGCAACCUGGCGACGAGUGGCGAACGGGUGAGUAAAGCAUCGGAACGUGCCCAGUAGUGGGGGAUAGCCCGGCGAAAGCCGGAUUAAUACCGCAUACGACCUAUGGGUGAAAGGGGGGGAUCGCAAGACCUCUCGCUAUUUGAGCGGCCGAUGUCAGAUUAGGUAGUUGGUGGGGUAAAGGCCUACCAAGCCGACGAUCUGUAGCUGGUCAGAGAGGACGACCAGCCACACUGGGACUGAGACACGGCCCAGACUCCUACGGGAGGCAGCAGUGGGGAAUUUUGGACAAUGGGCGCAAGCCUGAUCCAGCCAUGCCGCGUGCGGGAAGAAGGCCUUCGGGUUGUAAACCGCUUUUGUCAGGGAAGAAAUCUUCUGGGUUAAUACCUCGGGAGGAUGACGGUACCUGAAGAAUAAGCACCGGCUAACUACGUGCCAGCCGCCGCAGUAA